rnacentral:rRNA from 1 species
AGAGUUGAUCAUGGCUCAGGACGAACGCUGGCGGCGUGCUUAACACAUGCAAGUCGAACGGGGAUCACGUUGGAAGUCUCGGGAUGGAAGAUGUGAUUGAGUGGCGGACGGGUGAGUAACGCGUGAGCAACCUGUCCCAGACAGGGGAAUAACACUUGGAAACAGGUGCUAAUACCGCAUAAGACCACGGGGUCGCAUGGCCCAGGGGUAAAAGGAGUAAUCCGGUUUGGGGUGGGCUCGCGUCCGAUUAGAUAGUUGGUGAGGUAACGGCCCACCAAGUCGACGAUCGGUAGCCGACCUGAGAGGGUGAUCGGCCGCAUUGGAACUGAGAGACGGUCCAAACUCCUACGGGAGGCAGCAGUGGGGAAUAUUGGGCAAUGGGCGAAAGCCUGACCCAAGCAACGCCGCGUGAGUGAAGAAGGCUUUCGGGUUGUAAAGCUCUGUUAUGAGGGACGAAGGAAGUGACGGUACCUCAUAAGGAAGCCCCGGCUAACUACGUGCCAGCAGCUGC